rnacentral:lncRNA from 1 species
CCACCGGAAUCAUCAUCACCAUCGCCGCCACAACACGCUUCAAACACCACGGACAAUACUAGAUCUAUAACAUCGGAUUAGAGCCGUGAGGGAGAGAGAGCAGGAGAGAGAUACAAAGAUGCAUCUUUUUCAGAUCUGAACCAACAACUUCAGAUCUAGCCGCCGACAAAAGGAUUCAGGAAUUGCUCGUUGCCAGAAAAAAAACAUGAAGGAAGAUUGGGAGAGAAAGUGUACCGUUAAAAGGGGCGGUGAGUACGUCGUCGGUGAACGUCGGAGGACCGGUGGCAUUGAGAUUGAAACCAGAUGCGAGGAAGAUUGAGUGAAUGACCAGCUGAGUUGUUGAAAUUGGGUCUUGAAGCUCUUAUUAUUGCUAAUACAGAUUGCUGUCUUGAAGCUCUUAUUAUUGCUAAUACAGAUUGCUCAGUCGCCAUUGUUUGAUUAACAGAACAUAAACUCGCCGGAGAAAUGAAUUUCUUCUUGGAAAAGUAAACGUUUGAGUGUUUAUUGAGGCGGUUACCGGUGAGUUGGUUUACAGUUCUGGUGGCGGUGGUCGGUUGGUGGCAGUGGAAGUGGAGGUGGCUUUGGAUGGAUGUAGACAUGGAUAAAUAAGUGAGUAAAAUUACCAAUCUACCCUCACGUGGCAAU